UCGAGAAUCUUCGGCAAUGGGCGCAAGCCUGACCGAGCGACGCCGCGUGGAGGACGAAGGCCUUCGGGUUGUAAACUCCUGUCGAGGGGGAACAAGGUGCCGUGAAGAACGGCGUUUGAGUGAACCCUGGAGGAAGCACGGGCUAAGUUCGUGCCAGCAGCCGCGGUAAGACGAACCGUGCGAACGUUAUUCGGAAUCACUGGGCCUAAAGCGCGUGUAGGCGGGCCGGCACGUCUGAGGCUGAAAUCCCCCGGCUCAACCGGGGAAGCGGCCCGGAUACGACCGGCCUGGAGGGGGGUAGGGGGAGCGGGAACUGCCGGUGGAGCGGUGAAAUGCGUUGAGAUCGGCAGGAACGCCCGCGGCGAAAGCGCGCUCCUGGACCCCGCCUGACGCUGAGACGCGAAAGCCAGGGGAGCGAACGGGAUUAGAUACCCGUGUAGUCC
rnacentral:rRNA from 1 species